rnacentral:rRNA from 1 species
UACGUAGGGUGCAAGCGUUGUCCGGAAUUAUUGGGCGUAAAGAGCUCGUAGGCGGUCUGUCGCGUCGGCUGUGAAAACCCGGAGCUCAACUCCGGGCCUGCAGUCGAUACGGGCAGACUGGAGUUCGGCAGGGGAGACUGGAAUUCCUGGUGUAGCGGUGAAAUGCGCAGAUAUCAGGAGGAACACCGGUGGCGAAGGCGGGUCUCUGGGCAGUAACUGACGCUGAGGAGCGAAAGCGUGGGGAGCAAACAGG